rnacentral:rRNA from 1 species
AUUGAACGCUGGCGGCAUGCCUUACACAUGCAAGUCGAACGGUAACAGAUCUUCGGAUGCUGACGAGUGGUGAACGGGUGAGUAAUACAUCGGAACGUGCCUAGUAGUGGGGGAUAACUACUCGAAAGAGUGGCUAAUACCGCAUGAGAUCUACGGAUGAAAGCAGGGGAUCGCAAGACCUUGUGCUACUAGAGCGGCCGAUGGCAGAUUAGGUAGUUGGUGGGAUAAAAGCUUACCAAGCCGACGAUCUGUAGCUGGUCUGAGAGGACGAUCAGCCACACUGGGACUGAGACGCGGCCCAAUCUCCUACGGGAGGAAGCAGUGGGGAAUUUUGGACAAUGGGCGCAAGCCUGAUCCAGCAAUGCGGCGUGCAGGAUGAAGGCCUUCGGGUUGUAAACUGCUUUUGUACGGAACGAAAAGCCCUGGGUUAAUACCCUGGGGUCAUGACGGUACCGUAAGAAUAAGCACCGGCUAACUACGUGCCAGCAGCCGCCGUAACAC